rnacentral:lncRNA from 1 species
GGGUCUAGUAUUUUUUGAGUCUUGGGUUUGAUGUAAUUUUGGGUUAUUUGGGUUCGGUGGGUCUGUAAAUGGACAUUUGAACUGUUAUUAAUUUUUUUGGUUUAUUUUUUUGUUUUGAUUUGAUUUUAUAUUACUGGCCGGGCAAAUCGGCCUAUUACAGCUGCCCCUCUUUGCUCAUUGUCAUGUAACGGGAAUGAAGCAAAGACUAAAAAAGGGCCAAUUUUGCCCGGUCGUGCUGGACCUUAGUGCUCUUCCUCUUCAAGUAGCCUCAUUCCACCCUACUGCAUCUUUAGAGGUAUUGGAAUUGGUGCUUCGAUC